AAAAAUUACUGUAGAUUGGAACAUUUUUGUAUUAGAUUUAAUUUUGCUAAUUUCUCAUUAAAAAUCAAUGACAGAGGAUCUAAGCCUACCAGGUAAUUUAGAUUCAUCUUCAAGGACCAUCAGAUCCAAAUUUUGAAUUGGAUAUCAAUUCAUGAAGAUAUGCCUUUAUUUAGAUUGAUCUUUAUUACUAUUAGAAUCGAGGAUUAUUAGCCCAAAAUACAAUACAAUGAUAUUUUUGGCUCUAGAAAUUGCAAAUUAAUAUCCAUCAA
rnacentral:lncRNA from 1 species